rnacentral:rRNA from 1 species
GACGAACGCUGGCGGCGUGCUUAACACAUGCAAGUCGAACGCUGAAGACCUGGCUUUUGUUGGGUUGGAUGAGUGGCGAACGGGUGAGUAACACGUGAGUAACCUGCCCUCUUCUUUGGGAUAACGCCCGGAAACGGGUGCUAAUACUGGAUAUUCACUGAUCUUCGCAUGGGGGUUGGUGGAAAGGUUUGUUCUGGUGGGGGAUGGGCUCGCGGCCUAUCGGCUUGUUGGUGGGGUGAUGGCCUACCAAGGCUUUGACGGGUAGCCGGCCUGAGAGGGUGACCGGUCACAUUGGGACUGAGAUACGGCCCAGACUCCUACGGGAGGCAGCAGUGGGGAAUAUUGCACAAUGGGCGAAAGCCUGAUGCAGCGACGCCGCGUGAGGGAUGGAGGCCUUCGGGUUGUAAACCUCUUUCGCUCAUGGUCAAGCCGCAACUGUGGGUUGUGGUGAGGGUAGUGGGUAAAGAAGCGCCGGCUAACUACGUG